CCUCACACGUGUUGCAGCCUCGUUGGGGUCAGAGUGUGUCGCAGUGUACGAAAGGAAGGAUGUGCCCCGCCACCCCUGCCGCCAGUGUGCGUGUGCUGCUGCUAGCGGUCCUGGCGGCUUCCUGAGUCCGUUUUACAGUGCCACGGAUCAGUUGUUAGUGCCCUUGGCAAGGUAACAGCGUCAGUGAAGCGUUGCACAGUGUCUAUCUAGAGAAAGCAGUGACGGUGCUGAGUGAACUGUGCAAACAGGAGUCAACAGUGUCAGCGGAGAGUUAAAUACUGCUUGUGGACAGCAAACAGUGCCAGUCAGAAGCUAACAAUGCCGAAGAAGAAUAAGCAGUGCCAUUGGGAAACUAACAGUGCCAAAAGAGUAAACAGUGCUAAUGGGAAAUAAACGGUGUCAUUGGAGACUACACAGUGCCAUUAGGGAGUGAACAGAGCCACGGAGGAGCGAAUAGUGCCAAAAGAAGUAAACAUUGCCAGAAGAAGAUGACGAUGUCAGUGGGGAAGUUCUAUAGAAGUGAAGCAGCGUCAUAACUGGAACAUUGUAUACCAGUGAGUCGAUGCUCAGUGACAUGCAACUAUCACAGUGCAGCUCUUAAAACUCGGGCCUCCACUUACCGCUUCACCACUCUAGCCUCCUCU